UGAGAUCCAGUUGUCAUAGUUUAUAUCCAAGUGUUUCCAUCUUUGCUUAGAUCAGUAGAUCUCACCCUGUGGGUCAUGACCCCUUUGGCAAACCUCUAUGUGUAAAAAUAUUUACAAGUCACAAUGGUAGCAAAGUUACAGUGAUGAAGUAGCAAUGGGAAUGAUUUUAUGGUUGGGGUCACCACAACAUGAGGGACUGUACUAAAGGGUCACAGCACUAGGAAGGUUGAGACCCACUGGUUUAGAUGCUGAAAGGAACGUUUCCUGUCUUACCACUCUCUCUGUUCUUCUUCCCUUUUCUGCCAAGUGUUCCUCACUGUCUACAGGACAUCCAGACACUUACUCCUCACUUCCACUUAUCCACUGCAGAGACUGGAGACUGCCAUUACCCAGGCAGCCACACUCAUGUGACUUCUGCAAAGUUGUCUCCUUUUCCAAGUCCUUCUGUGGUGUCUCACUUCCUACAGAUUAGAUUUUCUGCUGUGUUUCCAAGUGGCAUCAUUCUCUCUCUCUCUCUCUCUCUCUCUCUCUCUCUCUCUCUCUCUCUCUCUCUCUCUCUCUCUCUCUCUCUCUCAUUUGUUUCUCAUUUAACCCUUCAAGGUACUUCCCAAGUCAUUGCUCGAGACCUAUUCUUCUCUCCUUGCUUAACUCAGCAACACCACGUGCCCGGCUGGGCUGCCUCCAGUUGUGGUACCUCUCAUCUCUGUGCACACCUCACUCACUGGACUGAUCGCAAGGCCACAACACAACACUGUGGACUAACUAGAGGGUACCCCUAGAUGUCAUCACCUCAGUUGCACCAAACUGAUAAUCUCUUUCCUACAACUUGCUUCUUUUAGCACUCCUUGCCUCAAUAAAUGACUAUACAUUGCAUUCAUUUUACGUAACAGAAAUCUAAACAUCUGCUUUAUCCCCCCUCCCCUGAGUGACAAAAUUAAGUCCAUUACCAAAUCCUGUCUUCUUUUCUUCCUUCAUAGCAUUUACAUUUACAUUUACAUUUCAUCUCUCUCUCUCCUGGUGUGGUAAACUAGCACUUAACCUGAUUCUCUCCUAGAUGCACAUGGUGCUGUCUGCCUGGUCUCUAUCCCUCUAUCCUCCUCCUUGUCCUAUGGUGAUAUGGCAGUGAGCAAUUCUGAGCUUAUCACUUCCCUGCUUGGAUAGCUUCAGGGCCUUCCCCACCCUCAAGGUAAGACACUGAGUCCGCCAUAGUUGGAAAGCCUUAAAGCCAGAGGAUGGCUUACCUCUCACCUUUCAUUCUCUGUCAACACCAUGAGCUUGAAUGUUCUGUGUCAGUGUUCCUUUGUGAUCUAGGAAUUAGACAUAGGUCCUCCAUUGGCAGAAGCUGUGUGUUACCUCUGGGAACAGUGCAUCUAGGAACCUUGCUGCAUGCUGUAUGUUGCCAUAAUACUGCUUCCAUCCAGCUGGUUGGCAUCAUGCUUACAAGACUGCUCGGCCUCUCUGAACCUGGUUCCAAAUGUGACAAAAUCAUAUUGUCUGAAAAAUGAAGAUUCUUUUCCUGGAAGCCUCCUAGUAGAUUGCCCCAUAUGCAUAAUCUCCUCAUACCCUCAAUCUCCAGCUUGUGCAGAAGAGGGCACUAAUUUGAUAAAUAUAAGAGGAAUGAUGGGUUGAAGCCAGGUAUAUAUAUUUUAGGGCCAAGGGAACUUCCUUUCUCCAUGUUUGGACUCAUAUACAGAUAGACCUCUCUGUAUCAUGUGUCAUGCUUUCUCUGACUUGAUACUGUGUCUGCCACACGCCUUUAGCAAAGGAAUCUCUGGUCACAUGUUGGCUCAUGGAAUUUACUGUAUGCUGCCGGAUUGGCAGAGCUUCUGUGCGUCAUCAAAGAGGGACUGGGAAUCACUGUCAUCUGCAAAAUCUAUUUUCUCUGGACUUAUGGCAUCUGUCAGACUCUUAACUAUUGUGAGCCAUUUUUUUCUCUGCUUGCAUGGGAAGGCUUACUCUAGUCAUGAUAACAACUGGAAGAAACAGACAGCAACUCUUCACAACUCUUCGAUUUGCAAUUAACAGGAAAACAUCCCACGGUUCGUCAUCUUUUGCAUUGUCCUGAGUCUAAGUAUUAAGCUAAGCAGUCUUGGUGGUAAAGACUGAAGCUUGUGACACUGGUGGUUAUAUUGAUAUGAUGCUGAGAUAUUUUCAGCCUCUAACAUUUCCCCAUUAUCUCUGAAAGUUUUCAGUUUUUGUAUCUUGGCAUGUAUUAUUCUUUUGCUGAGUGUCUAGAAUCCCACCGGGAGGAGCUCAUCUGUACACAAGCACGCUUCUCCCUCUUCAUCUGCCCAGGAUGUUAGCACAUGAAGGAAGAGAGCAUUUGCCACUUAGAAGGAAUGUAUUGAAACUGAUGUGGUCAUUGGCUGCCUAUCUUGGCAGUCAUUUCAUAAGACAGGCAACAUUGAAAUUUUGGAGAAUGGGAGGAGACAAUGAUAGUGUUAAUGCACUAGCUUAUAAACCCGAAUGAACAUCUGAGAUGCAUAAAGAUUUCCUUUUUUAAUAUGGAGUCCUGAGACCAAAUCCACACAUCUCAAACAGGCUCAGGAGCCAGCACAGAGUCCUAUUGAGAUGGGUCAGGUGGUACCGCUCAGCAAUGGAGGAAGAAAGCUAAUUUGUCAAAGGGUAACCUGAAACCACUGAGAAACUGAAGUAAAGAGGAGCCUGGAUUGGUUCAUAGAAUUUAAAGAUUACCCCAUGCUUUCUUCUUGGGCUACGGAAUAAAAACUGUUCUAGUUUAUAAUUA